AGCGAACGCUGGCGGCAGGCCUAACACAGGCAAGUCGAACGGAUCCUUCGGGAUUAGUGGCGGACGGGUGAGUAACACGUGGGAACGCGCCUUUUGGUUCGGAACAACUCAGGGGAACUUGAGCUAAUACCGAAUGUGCCCUUCGGGGGGAAAAGAUUUAUCGCCAUUAGAGCGGCCCGCGUCUGAUUAGCUUGUUGGUGAGGUAAAGGCUCACCAAGGCUACGAUCAGUAGCUGGUCUGAGAGGAUGAUCAGCCACAUUGGGACUGAGACACGGCCCAAACUCCUACGGGAGGCAGCAGUGGGGAAUCUUGCGCAAUGGGCGAAAGCCUGACGCAGCCAUGCCGCGUGAAUGAUGAAGGUCUUAGGAUUGAAAUUCUUUCACCGGGGACGAUAAUGACGUACCCGGAGAAGAAG
rnacentral:rRNA from 1 species